rnacentral:rRNA from 1 species
UACGUAGGGGGCAAGCGUUGUCCGGAUUUAUUGGGCGUAAAGAGCGUGUAGGCGGCCUUGCAAGUCCGUUGUGAAAACUCGAGGCUCAACCUCGAGACGCCGGUGGAAACUGCAAAGCUAGAGUCCGGAAGAGGAGAGUGGAAUUCCUGGUGUAGCGGUGAAUGACGCAGAUAUCAGGAGGAACACCCGUGGCGAAAGCGGCUCUCUGGGACGGUACUGACGCUGAGACGCGAAAGCGUGGGGAGCGAACAGG